rnacentral:rRNA from 1 species
CGAGCCAAAUUCCACAAAAAGUUCCAAAUGAGAGGUCUCAUUUGGAACUGUCGAGGGGUGGGCGAGAAAGGGAUGGCCACCUGCCUCUCAGACAUGAUCAAUGACCAUUCCCUUGACUUCCUGGGUCUGCAAGAAACUAUAAAGAAGGAAUUCACACCUAAGCGUUUGAGAAGAAUUGACCCUUUUGACAUUUUCCAGUGGAACUGGGUGUUGGGGAACGUAGUAGAAAUUCAAAAUUUUCUACGCAACACCAAGAUCUAUCUAUGGAGAGACUAG